AACGAACGCUGGCGGCAGGCCUAACACAUGCAAGUCGAGCGAAGCCUUCGGGCUUAGCGGCGGACGGGUGAGUAACGCGUGGGAACGUGCCCUUUGCUACGGAAUAGCCCCGGGAAACUGGGAGUAAUACCGUAUGUGCCCUUCGGGGGAAAGAUUUAUCGGCAAAGGAUCGGCCCGCGUUGGAUUAGGUAGUUGGUGGGGUAAUGGCCUACCAAGCCGACGAUCCAUAGCUGGUUUGAGAGGAUGAUCAGCCACACUGGGACUGAGACACGGCCCAGACUCCUACGGGAGGCAGCAGUGGGGAAUCUUAGACAAUGGGCGGAAGCCUGAUCUAGCCAUGCCGCGUGAUCGAUGAAGGCCUUAGGGUCGUAAAGAUCUUUCAGGUGGGAAGAUAAUGACUGUACCACCAGAAGAAGCCCCGGCUAACUCCGUGCCAGCAGCCGCCGUAAUAC
rnacentral:rRNA from 1 species